CGAGUCGGCUGGAUAGUCGCUGUAGUCUGUAAGGCUAUGGAGGAAAGUCCGGGCUUCAUAGGGCAAGGUGCCAGGUAACCCCUGGGGGGCGUGAGCCUACGGAAAGUGCAGCAGAGAGUAGACCGCCUAAGUGAGCAAUCACCGGCAAGGCUGAAAGGGUGCGGUAAGAGCGCACCGCACACGUGGUAACACGGCGUGGCAUGGUAAACCCCACCUGAAGCAAGACCAAAUAGAACCUCAAUGGUAUGGCCCGUACUGAGGUUGGGUAGGUUGCUUGAGGUACAUGGUGACAUGUAUCCCAGAUGAAUGACUAUUCACGACAGAACCCGGCUUAUAGGCUGACUCGACAU
rfam:Piscirickettsia salmonis strain PM15972A1, complete genome.